AGCCAAUCAGCAAAGCUUAGGGGGGCGGUGCCACAGGACCCGGCCCUCCUAUCUGGGCGCCAAUUAGCCAGCCCAUCCGUCGCUCACGAGGUCGCGCCUCGCGCCCGCCUUCCUCCUUUUCUUUUACCCUCCCCUUCAGAAAAAACGACGGUUGGGCUGCGACGGCCGCCAAAGGCGGACUAGAAGCGGAGGGAUGAAAAUCCCGGGAGAGAAGGAAGAAGGGACUGCAGGAGGGAGGAGGAGGAGGAGGAUAAGGAGGAAGGGAGCCCGCCCAGCCGGAGCCAUCUCCGUCUAGAACAAAAUGGCGGCGCUGGCGGAGGGCCAACUAUGAGGCGGGGCCGCGGCCAUUCCCCCUCCGCCCCCACCCUUGCGCCGGCCGGGCCGGUCAGGGGGAACCCGCUCGCUUCGCCCGGCCGCGGGCGGGGAGGGGAGGGGAGCGGCCCGGCCCACUAUGCAAAGCGCCGGGCGCCGCCGCCGCCACCCCGUGGCAAAGGUCGAGGGGUUAAUGCUCUGGAAGACAGAUGAAAAGGCACUGCCCGAGAAGCGGGGUGAAGACAGCGGGAAGCUCAUGCUCACAGGCCGCUCUGUAACCGAAAGAAGCCACGUGGAAGGGAGAAUCCACAUAUUGGAAAAUGGUGCCCGAACCUCUAUUUCCUCCCUCCAUGGAGUGAAUAACUCCCUCCAGGGAAAGCGGUUUCAGGCAUGAACCAUGGACCACAGAGAAGCCACUGGAGCCUGGGGAGAAGCCACCAGGCCACUUGGAAGAAGGCAAGUGGUCCCCAGGUUACCUCUCAUCAGGCCCGGGACAGCCCUGCCCCGCUUCUUCAGCUCCCCGAAGCAGCCGUCGCAGACCUUGGCCAUCCUGUCCUUCAGCAACAGAAUUGGCUGAGUAAUGUGGAAUGUGGCCAGGAGACCAGCCAGAUGCAGAGCCCAGUGAGCCCUGCCCUGCUUCUCUGUGCAGUGUGUGCGUGUGUGGCUUCCCAGACAGUCAUCCGACAGGCACUUUCCAAGUCCCUGCUCUGCACCAGGGAGGGCUUCCUGAGUGGCAAGAGCUACGCCUGGGCUGGGUGCCAGCUAGCUGGGUGAAGUUCUCACAGUGUCCACUAGAUGCCGCGCCUACACCACAGGGUCUCACUAUGUUGCCCAGGCUGGUCCCAAACUCCUGGCCGCAAGUAAUCCUCCAGCCUCAGCCUCCCAGAUUGAUGGAAUUACAGGUGCUGUGGAAGGUGUCUGGCUGCCAGCUCCAUCAUUCUUGGCCACUCACCCACCGCUGGGAAGGCUGCAGAGCGUCAUGCUCAGGGCCCAGCCCGGGCAACCCCAGGUGCACUGUCAUGUUGGACAAGUACCUGCCAGUGACCACGUCUCCCAUGCCUUUUUCUAACAGGCUCCUCGGUGGAGCCUUUGGUUCCAAAAGGGAACAAACCUCCGUGCUGAGAAAGGUGCUUCCUCCUUCCCCUUCCCCAUGGUAAAGAGCCUACAGGAUCAAGAGAGAUUGCACAGUGCCUCUCUCAGCUCUCCUGGCCAUCCCUGCCUCUGCCCUUGACAAUGACAACCGCCUGCGGCUCCACUGUCCCACCUCAGUGUUGCCCUCUCUGACUUCAGCCUCCUGUUGCACCAGAAUUAACUUCCUAAAACCUCCUGCUCCUCAAAGUCCCCAACAGCUCCCAAGUGUUCCCAUCUUCAGGACCAAGUUACACGGAGCUAAGCCCCACAUAUAUGCCCAUAUUCACAGCAGUAUUACUCACAACAGCCUAAAGGUGGAAGCCACCAGUGUCCAUCGGCAGAGGAUUGAAUAAACACCAUGUGGUCUAUCCACACAACGGAAGGAAAAUUCUGACCCAUACUACAGAUGACAGGGAUCAACCUUGAGGACACUGUGCUAAGUGAAACAAGGAUCAAUACUGUGUGACUCCUCAUUCGAGGUACCCAUAGUACUCAAAUUCAUGGACACAGAAAGUAGAAUGGUAGGUGCCAGGGGCUGAGAAGGAGGGGAAUGGAGAGUUGGUUUUUAAUGUGGGCAGAGUUUCAGUCUGGGGAGAGGAAAGAGUUCUGAGAUGGAUGGUGGUGCUGGAUACACAGCAAUGUAAAUGUGCUUAGUGCCACAGAACUGUACAUUUAAAAAUGGUUACUUUUAAAAUGAUAUGUGUAUUUUAUCACAAUUAAAAAAAUUACCAACCACCUGCUUGUUCCCCCAACCCAGGCCCUUCCUUAUGCAUUUUCCUCCUCAUAGGAUGCCCCUCCUUCCCUUCCUUCCUGAUCCGAUCAAAUAUUAUCCACUCUAAGGGUUCAGUCUCCUCUUCCAGGAAGCCCUCCAUCCCCCUCCCCUUUCCCUGGGCAACUUACAGCACAAACUUGCUGUAGCCCAACACUGUUUCCGCAGGGCCUCCCUCUUCCAGCUGGUCUGGGUGCUCCUAGGAGCAGGAUGCUGUCCCCUUCUCCCCUGGGGUCUCCCUGUCCCCCAACCCUGGGGUACCUGGCACCAGAUAUUUACCUUCAUGUUGGCC